GGGACACGUGGUAUCCUGUCUGAAUAUGGGGGGACCAUCCUCCAAGGCUAAAUACUCCUGACUGACCGAUAGUGAACCAGUACCGUGAGGGAAAGGCGAAAAGAACCCCGGCGAGGGGAGUGAAAAAGAACCUGAAACCGUGUACGUACAAGCAGUGGGAGCACGCUUAGGCGUGUGACUGCGUACCUUUUGUAUAAUGGGUCAGCGACUUAUAUUCUGUAGCAAGGUUAACCGAAUAGGGGAGCCGAAGGGAAACCGAGUCUUAACUGGGCGUUAAGUUGCAGGGUAUAGACCCGAAACCCGGUGAUCUAGCCAUGGGCAGGUUGAAGGUUGGGUAACACUAACUGGAGGACCGAACCGACUAAUGUUGAAAAAUUAGCGGAUGACUUGUGGCUGGGGGUGAAAGGCCAAUCAAACCGGGAGAUAGCUGGUUCUCCCCGAAAGCUAUUUAGGUAGCGCCUCGUGAAUUCAUCUCCGGGGGUAGAGCACUGUUUCGGCAAGGGGGUCAUCCCGACUUACCAACCCGAUGCAAACUGCGAAUACCGGAGAAUGUUAUCACGGGAGACACACGGCGGGUGCUAACGUCCGUCGUGAAGAGGGAAACAACCCAGACCGCCAGCUAAGGUCCCAAAGUCAUGGUUAAGUGGGAAACGAUGUGGGAAGGCCCAGACAGCCAGGAUGUUGGCUUAGAAGCAGCCAUCAUUUAAAGAAAGCGUAAUAGCUCACUGGUCGAGUCGGCCUGCGCGGAAGAUGUAACGGGGCUAAACCAUGCACCGAAGCUGCGGCAGCGACACUAUGUGUUGUUGGGUAGGGGAGCGUUCUGUAAGCCUGCGAAGGUGUGCUGUGAGGCAUGCUGGAGGUAUCAGAAGUGCGAAUGCUGACAUAAGUAACGAUAAAGCGGGUGAAAAGCCCGCUCGCCGGAAGACCAAGGGUUCCUGUCCAACGUUAAUCGGGGCAGGGUGAGUCGACCCCUAAGGCGAGGCCGAAAGGCGUAGUCGAUGGGAAACAGGUUAAUAUUCCUGUACUUGGUGUUACUGCGAAGGGGGGACGGAGAAGGCUAUGUUGGCCGGGCGACGGUUGUCCCGGUUUAAGCGUGUAGGCUGGUUUUCCA
rnacentral:rRNA from 1 species